UCCACGCCGUAAACGAUGCUCACUCGCUGUAUGCGAUACACAGUAUGCGGCCAAGCGAAAGUGAUAAGUGAGCCACCUGGGGAGUACGAUCGCAAGGUUGAAACUCAAAGGAAUUGACGGGGGCCCGCACAAGCGGAGGAACAUGUGGUUUAAUUCGAUGAUACGCGAGGAACCUUACCUGGGCUUAAAUGUAGAUUGCAUGCUGUAGAAAUACACUUUCCUUCGGGACUAUCUACAAGGUGCUGCAUGGUUGUCGUCAGCUCGUGCCGUGAGGUGUCGGGUUAAGUCCCAUAACGAGCGCAACCCCUAUCGUUAGUUGCCA
rnacentral:rRNA from 1 species